AGAGUUUGAUCAUGGCUCAGGACGAACGCUGGCGGCGUGCCUAACACAUGCAAGUCGAACGGGACCCGCAAGGGUCCAGUGGCAAACGGGUGCGUAACACGUGAGGAACCUGUCCAACGGCGGGGGAUAGCCGGCCCAACGGCCGGGUAAUACCGCGUACGACCUCAGGGGGGCAUCCCCCCGGGGUGAAAGCAGCAAUGCGCCGAUGGAGGGCCUCGCGGCCUAUCAGCUAGUUGGUGAGGUAAUGGCUCACCAAGGCUACGACGGGUAGCUGGUCCGAGAGGAUGACCAGCCACAUUGGGACUGAGACACGGCCCAGACUCCUACGGGAGGCAGCAGUGGGGAAUCUUGCGCAAUGGGCGAAAGCCUGACGCAGCGACGCCGCGUGUGGGAUGAAGGUCUUCGGAUUGUAAACCACUGUCGGGAGGGACGAAGCUCUGACGGUACCUCCAAAGGAAGCACCGGCUAACUCUGUGCCAGCAGCCGCGGUAAUACAGAGGGUGCAAGCGUUGUCCGGAAUCACUGGGCGUAAAGGGCGCGUAGGCGGCCUGGUAAGUAGGGGGUGAAAUUCCGCGGCUCAACCGCAGGACUGCCUUCUAAACUGUCAGGCUCGAGCACGGUAGAGGCUGGUGGAAUUCCCGGUGUAGCGGUGGAAUGCGUAGAGAUCGGGAAGAACAUCGGUGGCGAAGGC
rnacentral:rRNA from 1 species